GGAAUCGGAUCUGCAGCCCUGUUGUUCAGAACUCACUGCACUUACCAACUGAGCCACUCGGCCGGCCUCUAAAGGUUGGUUUUGAUUGGAGGAGGGGUUAUACAUUCUAAUUAAUCCUUGAAGCAAAUCAGAACAUCAAAGUUUUAGUUGUAGCAGACUACUAGAUGCUCCCCCCAAUAUCUGUCCUCUCCAUCUUCUAUAGUCAUAGGAUUUGUAGCUGGUAUGAAUCCCAGGCUCCCUUAUAAGCCAGGUGUGACCGACUAACUUCUGGUGAGGGGAUGCAGACAGACGUGACAUAUCCAUCGUCUGCCCUGUGUCCCUAAAGAGAAGGCACACGACGCCCUUCCCUCCCCUGUUGCCUUCCCUGUCUGCGGGCUGAACCGUGGGUAAGGAUGUGGGUACAGGUGAGGGACCAGGAAGACAGGCUCCCGGGCUCCAAGAUUCUGGUGUUGACUGCUCACCUACAGUUAGAGAAAUAAACCGUCUUGGUUUAGUCAUACUUAUAUUAUCUGUCCUAGAGGUUGAAUGUACCUUCUAAGAAGGGCAAGAUACACUUGUUACAAAGGAAGGCUGUGCAACUCCCAGUAAUUGACACAGUUUGGAGAUGGACUGACUGGAUGGAUGACUGCAAAAUCACGUCUGGCCAAAGCUUGAUACAGUGACAGUAGUGUAGUUUUCCCCAGUGAAGAUGGAGCCACGGCCAUUUAACAAAGUGCUUAGACAGGCACAAGAUGGCAGCUAUUGAUUUCUCACUAUCUAAAGGUGAUGUUUGAAGCUGGUAACCCAUCUAGAAAUCUCUACAUUGAUAUACUUGAAUGAAAAUGUCCGCUUGCACAUAUCUGAAUGAGCUUUACACCAUCUUCUGACUCCAUCUACAUACUGUGCCUUUAUCUUAUUUCAGCUAUAUAGGUCCCCACUUGAAAAUUAAAUUUAAAAGCAGAUUGUAAGGCAGAAGAAAAAAACUGGACUAUUUAUUGAAGUGCAACCUUGAGGCACAGUCUCACAGCAGACAGUAUCGUAUGGAGAGCAAGGAAUGCAGACUCCUUAAACAUGAAAAAUUCCUCUCAGAAUAGGGAACAUCUUCAUACUAAGGAAGUAACAGUCUUCCUGUUUAAAACCCAGAUGGCACAGGAGGUUUUAGACUCAAGUUCUGUCCUCAAACAGUGGAAAAAUCAGGCCUCAGGAUGUGUUUGGUUCUUUUCAACUUGCUUUCCUUUUAUUAAGAAGCAGGGAAAACCGUGGGCAGUUCAAAGGUGUAGAGGUGACUCAAGGGCCCCUGUCACCCAGUUUCCAAACUCAGGUCACUAAAGGCAUCUUUUCUCUUUGCAAGAAGGAGAAAACUUUGAGCUGGUGGAUAAAAACUUUGAGCUGGUGAAUAAAAACUUUCUGUACCAGAAGCUGCUGAGUA